rnacentral:rRNA from 1 species
UACGAAGGGGGCUAGCGUUGCUCGGAAUUACUGGGCGUAAAGGGAGCGUAGGCGGACAUUUAAGUCAGGGGUGAAAUCCCAGAGCUCAACUCUGGAACUGCCUUUGAUACUGGGUGUCUUGAGUGUGAUAGAGGUAUGUGGAACUCCGAGUGUAGAGGUGAAAUUCGUAGAUAUUCGGAAGAACACCAGUGGCGAAGGCGACAUACUGGAUCAUUACUGACGCUGAGGAGCGAAAGCGUGGGGAGCGAACAGG